UACGGAAGGCAGCAGUGGGGAAUAUUGCACAAUGGGCGAAAGCCUGAUGCAGCUAUGCCGCGUGUAUGAAGAAGGCCUUAGGGUUGUAAAGUACUUUCAUCGGGGAGGAAAAAACAAAACUAAUAAUUUUAUUUCUUGACGUUACCCGAAAAAGAAGCACCGGCUAACUCCGUGCCAGCAGCCGCGGUAAUACGGAGGGUGCUAGCGUUAAUCAGAAUUACUGGGCGUAAAGAGCACGUAGGUGGUUUUUUUAAAGUCAGAUGUGAAAUCCCUGGGCUUAACCUAGGAACUGCAUUUUGAAACUGAAAUACUAGAGUAUCGUAGAGGGAGGUAGAAUUCUAGGUGUAGCGGUGAAAUGCGUAGAUAUCUGGAGGAAUACCUGUGGCGAAAGCGGCCUCCUAAACGAAUACUGACACUGAGGGUGCGAAAGCGUGGGGAGCAAACAGGGAUUUAGAUACC
rnacentral:rRNA from 1 species